rnacentral:rRNA from 1 species
GACCUGGAUGGGCGGUCCGCCUAACGGUGUGUACUGUUCGUCUGGGCCUUACCUCUUGGUGAGCCAGCAUGUCCUUCACUGGGUGUGUUGGGGAACCAGGACUUUUACCUUGAGAAAAUUAGAGUGUUCAAAGCAGGCAAUCGAGCCUUGAAUACUUCAGCAUGGGAUAAUGGAACAGGA